rnacentral:rRNA from 1 species
AUGGCAACACAUUAUUGGAUCAUAAUAUGUGGCAUAAAGCACCAUGUUCAGGUAGGGGAUUACAGCGGGGUGCGGGAGAGUGGAACGCGUAAAAGAGAUGAGGAUGGUGAUGAAGAAGGUGAUGGUGAUGAAGAAGGUGAUGUUGAUGAAGACGAUCACCGCGGCGAUGGUUCCCCCGGUGGCACUCCGGCGCCACCGAAAGAGAGGGGGAGAGAUCCUCCCCCUUGUGCUUCCUCCUCCACGGCCUCCCCCCUAGAUGGGGAGAGGUUCUCUCUCUGGGCCUGGGCCUCGAUGGUGAUGAUGGCGCCCUCCGGGAUCCUCCUCCAUAGCCUCCGGUGA